UUAAGCGACUAAGCGUACACGGUGGAUGCCCUGGCAGUCAGAGGCGAUGAAGGACGUGCUAAUCUGCGAUAAGCGUCGGUAAGGUGAUAUGAACCGUUAUAACCGGCGAUUUCCGAAUGGGGAAACCCAGUGUGUUUCGACACACUAUCAUUAACUGAAUCCAUAGGUUAAUGAGGCGAACCGGGGGAACUGAAACAUCUAAGUACCCCGAGGAAAAGAAAUCAACCGAGAUUCCCCCAGUAGCGGCGAGCGAACGGGGAGCAGCCCAGAGCCUGAAUCAGUGUGUGUGUUAGUGGAAGCGUCUGGAAAGGCGCGCGAUACAGGGUGACAGCCCCGUACACAAAAAUGCACAUGCUGUGAGCUCGAUGAGUAGGGCGGGACACGUGGUAUCCUGUCUGAAUAUGGGGGGACCAUCCUCCAAGGCUAAAUACUCCUGACUGACCGAUAGUGAACCAGUACCGUGAGGGAAAGGCGAAAAGAACCCCGGCGAGGGGAGUGAAAAAGAACCUGAAACCGUGUACGUACAAGCAGUGGGAGCACGCUUAGGCGUGUGACUGCGUACCUUUUGUAUAAUGGGUCAGCGACUUAUAUUCUGUAGCAAGGUUAACCGAAUAGGGGAGCCGAAGGGAAACCGAGUCUUAACUGGGCGUUAAGUUGCAGGGUAUAGACCCGAAACCCGGUGAUCUAGCCAUGGGCAGGUUGAAGGUUGGGUAACACUAACUGGAGGACCGAACCGACUAAUGUUGAAAAAUUAGCGGAUGACUUGUGGCUGGGGGUGAAAGGCCAAUCAAACCGGGAGAUAGCUGGUUCUCCCCGAAAGCUAUUUAGGUAGCGCCUCGUGAAUUCAUCUCCGGGGGUAGAGCACUGUUUCGGCAAGGGGGUCAUCCCGACUUACCAACCCGAUGCAAACUGCGAAUACCGGAGAAUGUUAUCACGGGAGACACACGGCGGGUGCUAACGUCCGUCGUGAAGAGGGAAACAACCCAGACCGCCAGCUAAGGUCCCAAAGUCAUGGUUAAGUGGGAAACGAUGUGGGAAGGCCCAGACAGCCAGGAUGUUGGCUUAGAAGCAGCCAUCAUUUAAAGAAAGCGUAAUAGCUCACUGGUCGAGUCGGCCUGCGCGGAAGAUGUAACGGGGCUAAACCAUGCACCGAAGCUGCGGCAGCGACGCUGAUGCGUUGUUGGGUAGGGGAGCGUUCUGUAAGCCUGUGAAGGUGUACUGUGAGGUAUGCUGGAGGUAUCAGAAGUGCGAAUGCUGACAUAAGUAACGAUAAAGCGGGUGAAAAGCCCGCUCGCCGGAAGACCAAGGGUUCCUGUCCAACGUUAAUCGGGGCAGGGUGAGUCGACCCCUAAGGCGAGGCCGAAAGGCGUAGUCGAUGGGAAACAGGUUAAUAUUCCUGUACUUGGUGUUACUGCGAAGGGGGGACGGAGAAGGCUAUGUUGGCCGGGCGACGGUUGUCCCGGUUUAAGCGUGUAGGCUGGUUUUCCAGGCAAAUCCGGAAAAUCAAGGCUGAGGCGUGAUGACGAGGCACUACGGUGCUGAAGCAACAAAUGCCCUGCUUCCAGGAAAAGCCUCUAAGCAUCAGGUAACAUCAAAUCGUACCCCAAACCGACACAGGUGGUCAGGUAGAGAAUACCAAGGCGCUUGAGAGAACUCGGGUGAAGGAACUAGGCAAAAUGGUGCCGUAACUUCGGGAGAAGGCACGCUGAUAUGUAGGUGAGGUCCCUCGCGGAUGGAGCUGAAAUCAGUCGAAGAUACCAGCUGGCUGCAACUGUUUAUUAAAAACACAGCACUGUGCAAACACGAAAGUGGACGUAUACGGUGUGACGCCUGCCCGGUGCCGGAAGGUUAAUUGAUGGGGUCAGCGCAAGCGAAGCUCUUGAUCGAAGCCCCGGUAAACGGCGGCCGUAACUAUAACGGUCCUAAGGUAGCGAAAUUCCUUGUCGGGUAAGUUCCGACCUGCACGAAUGGCGUAAUGAUGGCCAGGCUGUCUCCACCCGAGACUCAGUGAAAUUGAACUCGCUGUGAAGAUGCAGUGUACCCGCGGCAAGACGGAAAGACCCCGUGAACCUUUACUAUAGCUUGACACUGAACAUUGAGCCUUGAUGUGUAGGAUAGGUGGGAGGCUUUGAAGUGUGGACGCCAGUCUGCAUGGAGCCGACCUUGAAAUACCACCCUUUAAUGUUUGAUGUUCUAACGUGGACCCGUGAUCCGGGUUGCGGACAGUGUCUGGUGGGUAGUUUGACUGGGGCGGUCUCCUCCUAAAGAGUAACGGAGGAGCACGAAGGUUGGCUAAUCCUGGUCGGACAUCAGGAGGUUAGUGCAAUGGCAUAAGCCAGCUUGACUGCGAGCGUGACGGCGCGAGCAGGUGCGAAAGCAGGUCAUAGUGAUCCGGUGGUUCUGAAUGGAAGGGCCAUCGCUCAACGGAUAAAAGGUACUCCGGGGAUAACAGGCUGAUACCGCCCAAGAGUUCAUAUCGACGGCGGUGUUUGGCACCUCGAUGUCGGCUCAUCACAUCCUGGGGCUGAAGUAGGUCCCAAGGGUAUGGCUGUUCGCCAUUUAAAGUGGUACGCGAGCUGGGUUUAGAACGUCGUGAGACAGUUCGGUCCCUAUCUGCCGUGGGCGCUGGAGAACUGAGGGGGGCUGCUCCUAGUACGAGAGGACCGGAGUGGACGCAUCACUGGUGUUCGGGUUGUCAUGCCAAUGGCACUGCCCGGUAGCUAAAUGCGGAAGAGAUAAGUGCUGAAAGCAUCUAAGCACGAAACUUGCCCCGAGAUGAGUUCUCCCUGACCCUUUAAGGGUCCUGAAGGAACGUUGAAGACGACGACGUUGAUAGGCCGGGUGUGUAAGCGCAGCGAUGCGUUGAGCUAACCGGUACUAAUGAACCGUGAGGCUUAACCUU
rnacentral:rRNA from 1 species